AACGAACGCUGGCGGCAUGCCUAACACAUGCAAGUCGAACGAGACCUUCGGGUCUAGUGGCGCACGGGUGCGUAACGCGUGGGAACCUGCCCUUAGGUUCGGAAUAACUCCCCGAAAGGGGUGCUAAUACCGGAUAAUGUCUUCGGACCAAAGAUUUAUCGCCUUUGGAUGGGCCCGCGUUGGAUUAGCUAGUUGGUAGGGUAAAAGCCUACCAAGGCGACGAUCCAUAGCUGGUCUGAGAGGAUGAUCAGCCACACUGGGACUGAGACACGGCCCAGACUCCUACGCGAGGGAGCAGUGGGGAAUAUUGGACAAUGGGCGAAAGCCUGAUACAGCCAUGCCGCGUGAGUGAUGAAGGCCUUAGGGUUGUAAAGCUCUUUUACCCGGGAUGAUAAUGACAGUACCGGGAGAAUAAGCUCCGGCUAACUCCGUG
rnacentral:rRNA from 1 species